rnacentral:lncRNA from 1 species
GCACUGCUGCACAUACUACGGUCCCAUGGUGCGGAGCUUGCUCCCGCUGCAUUAUCGAAGUGUUUCAAUGCCUACGGAGCCAUCGUGUAAAAUUCCUU